rnacentral:lncRNA from 1 species
AAACACUGGAAGCUCACUGUAGUGGUAAUAACGCAUUGCAGCUACAAGAAUCCAAAUCUUCCUGGGUCAGCUGCUGACCUUGGUUCUUUCUGCCCUCCUGCCCCUGCUGCAGGCUCAUGCAAGAAGGUAGGUGCAGGCAGUGUGUAUCCUGUGCAUAUCCUGAGCACUGCUGCCUACUGCAGCUUUCAUCAGAUGAGAAAAAUACCUGUAUGUCAGCAGAAUGUCUUUAUCAAGGCUACUGCAGGAACAGCAAUUUUGUUGCUUAGACUUCUGUACUCAUAAGAGAGGAAGGCUUUUAUAUGGCUAAUUUUGUGACCACUGUGUGUAGAAUUGGGGACAAUACAGAACCACAUUAAGGCUAGUUUGAAUUGACUUCAUUGACUUUGCAGUUCAGGCUGUGACUAUGUAUUUGGCAGCAACUUAACUCCUGUUAACACUGUUCUUUCUCUUUGCCUCCUAUCAGGAACAUAUGCCAUGGAGUUUGCUCCAGCAAGACAUCUGUCCUUCACUGACUUUGGAAAACACAAACCUGAAAAUGAAUUCAAAGAAAACCUGGCAAUUUCUUUCAAGUGGAGCAUGCCACCUGAACAAAUAUGUCAGGUCACCAGACUCUUCACCUGAGAAUUCCUUAGGAUUUUUGCUGGCCCAUGGAGAACAGUUCAAGUACAGACCCCGAAUUACAAGUGGUUUAUUUCAGCAGUUUCCUGUCUGAUACCUUCUAUAGGCUGUGACAGCAGAACACGGCAAACUGCACGGCGCUGCAGCCGCCAG